CAGUCGCCGCGGUAAUACGAAGGGGGCUAGCGUUGUUCGGAUUUACUGGGCGUAAAGGGCGCGUAGGCGGGCGAAUAAGUCAGGGGUGAAAUCCCAAGGCUCAACCUUGGAACUGCCUUUGAUACUGUUUGUCUUGAGUUCGAGAGAGGUAAGUGGAACUGCGAGUGUAGAGGUGAAAUUCGUAGAUAUUCGCAAGAACACCAGUGGCGAAGGCGGCUUACUGGCUCGAAACUGACGCUGAGGCGCGAAAGCGUGGGGAGCAAACAGGAUUAGAUACCCCGGUAGUCCCUGUCUCUUAUAC
rnacentral:rRNA from 1 species